rnacentral:tRNA from 1 species
AGGGCCGGGGCUCAGUGGUAGAGUGCUCACCUCACAUGUGUGAGGCAGUGGGUUCAAUCCUCAGCACUA